AAGUCGUAACAAGGUUUCCGUAGGUGAACCUGCGGAAGGAUCAUUACCAAGUGCCUGGUAGUGGUAUGCCCACCAGCUGCCUCUGCCGCGUGCCAUCCUUACCACCCUUGUCUAUGUAUACCAAUGGUUAUCCCUCGGCUAGAUUCAUAGAAUCUCGCCGGCCGGGACCCCUAAAACCCUUUGUAAUAAGCAAACUAUUUUCUGAUACCUACUAAAAAAGUAACAACUUUCAACAAUGGAUCUCUUGGUUCUG
rnacentral:misc_RNA from 1 species